AGGUGCCUGCAGUACCUCCAGAAUGCGCACCCCAGGAGAGCUCCCCUGGGCAGAGCAGCUCUUCGCAGGAGGGGGAAGCACCAUCCCCCAGGAAGAGACCACACACCUGCGAAGAGGAGAGCGACGGCCCACCGCCCAAGAGAAGGCGAAUGCUGGCCGCAGACAGCUCAGCGAUGGACGACUGAGACAACCCAAGCAGGGUUGUAGAGGUGGCUGAAGACAUCACCCUCAUGCUGCCACCCGCUUGGCUCAGAUGGACGGUCUAGCAGGGGUUCCGAGAAAGAAGAUCACUUCUCGACCUUCCUGCAGAACUUUCACGUUUCUUUUCACAUGCCCGUUGGCAAUUUUCAGAUAGUUACAAUAGGGUUUUUAGCCAGUAGGGCAAGAGAGUUUGUUUGUUAGUUACUAACUAAGUUAGUAAGCUAGUUAGUAAGGUAGUAAGUUAGUUAGUUAGUUAGUUAGUUAGUUAGUUUCUAGUGUAGGUAGCUGUGUACUGAAUACAUUUCGUUCACAUCCCAGUUUUCACUUUCACGAUAUUUACAAAAGCGUUUUGAGCCAAUUUGGCAAGAGAGUUCGUAAGUUUAGUUUCUACUGUAGGUGUAGAUGUAGGUGUUCACUGUCAAGGCCCACUGAACUCGGCUCUCAUGCGACCGUCACUACUCUUCGUCUUCAAGUGAAGCGCCGCGUCAGAAGAGGAUGUGGUCCAAAGAAGGAUUUCUUUGGCCCCUAAGCACUUCAGGCUUUCUGAAAUCAAAUCUGAGCUAGCAGGAGAUGCAAACUGAUAAUAAUGGCUUCCACUUAGCCAACUCUUCUUCCUGUCGCUGAGCCAAGCGCACGAGUUGAGGCUCUCUGCAUUUUAAUACUGGCUCUCUUAUUUGGAGGGUCGUUGAGACCUUGGGAGUCACUCAAGGUAAUGGUUCCAAAUGAAGGGGGAAAAGUAAGGCAUGGAAGAGGUUUUCUUAUUUCUGGGAGACAUUCUGCAGAAAUGUCAGACUGCACACCUACAGAAAAGUGCUGGAACCGGUGUCUUUCUGUAAAAGUGAAUAAAUGCU